GGCACUUCUAACUCUCCUAGUAAAAAGUAUGAAGUAGCUGACGUCGGUAUUGAAGUAAAAGUCACAAAAAACUUUUCUCUUCACAGAUGCAAUAAAUGUGGAAAGGCAUUUGCCAAAAAGACUUAUCUUGAACAUCAUAAGAAAACUCAUAAGGCAAAUGCUUCCAAUUCACCUGAAGGAAACAAAACCAAAGGCCGAAGUACAAGAUCUAAGGCUCUUGUCUGCCUCGCGAAGCCGUCGUCCCGCAGCGCUGCCGCCCUGCGCCCGGCCGCCCCCGGGAGCCGCUGCCCGCCCGCGGGCGCCGUCACCACGCGUCAGGCCGCUGCCAGCUGCCGCGCCAAGCUCCGCGGCGGCGCCGCCCGAGAGCGCCAGCACGCUGCCCGGGGCCUGGAGAAGCCCGCGGCUCCGUGAGCGCCGCCGCCUGGCCGCCGGCGGGACCUCGCCCUCGCUCCGCACCGCCGUACCUCAGGCGCCUUGCCGCGGCCGUCUCCACGGGCUGACCAGUCGUCCGCAGACCCCUGAGGCCUCUGCCUCGCCUCAAACCCCUUUCACUCCUUGCCCUCGCCGUCCCUGGUUUGAGCCAGAACUCUCCCGCGAAGCCCUCUAGAGGACCACGUGCCUUAGGGACAGGCUGGGGGCGGCCUCCGUGCGAGUCGUGGUUGCUCGCAGAGCAGCACGUCCUCUGCCUGCCAAAAUCCCGGCUUCUUUGAGAAUCUUGUUACUGGACAAUACCAUCCUUUUCCUUUCAGCCUGUAAUUUAUAGAUUUCCUAUUCCUAGUGAGUUUUGUCAUAAUUAGUUCUUCAAAGACUAGCUCCUACUUGAACCUUCACCUCAAAUCCUGGCAUCGACAAACUAGUUUCCCCCCGCCCACCUCCCCACCCCCCCGCCACAACCCCAAAUAUUGCCAUCUGCCAGAAGAUUGUUUUAAUAACUGUCCAAAUCCUCAGUGACUGUGGGUUGCUUGACACAACUUGGAGUUGUGUUAUGCACAACUGUGGUUGAACUUGAACUCCAACAUCCAGUCCCCUCCUUCCUGUAACUUCAUCUCCAGUGAUUAUUUCUCCCCUUAAGAAUCAGUCCUUGCUACCACAGUUCUAGACCGUGUCAUCAUUAGAAUCCGCAUCCUCUCUACAGUCUUGUCUGUGGUAACCAUGGCCUCUCAGAUCUCCUGCUCCAGGGAGCAGAAGUGACUGACAGGUCCCCCUGCCUUCCCAAGGCAUCCAUUGUUGGGUUUGCACUGAAGCCAUGCUUCUCUGGCACUACUCCCAGUCAGUGAGCGGGCACAGCACGGGGUGUUGGUGGUGGCACGUUCAUGGAAGAUGUAGGACUCCUCUGAUGAGCAACUUUGGCUUGGGAACACCUGAUCCGCCUGGUUGAAACUUUCUGAGAACUAUGCUGCAUGCAGCCUGAGGCUCUUGGGCCCAGUUCCUCUCUCCUUUCACAGGUGUCAGACCUGUAUUAUGAUAUGAAGUCUCCC
rnacentral:sRNA from 1 species